UCACACCCGCGCGGGAGAGUCCCGGGCAAACCAGCCUGUGGCGCCGAAGGAGCAAGACCUCCCCACAAACUCUCAGGCACCCAACCGCCGGGUCAGG
rnacentral:ncRNA from 2 species